CGCACUUCCUGCGUGCGCGCCGCCAUGUUCGGUUGGAGCGUCACUUCCGCCGGGGCCGGAACCGGCGCCGGUGCGGACCCGAGCUGUGGGCCCUGCGGCGACGGUGCUGCGCGCGCGCACCGUCGAUGCUCGCCGCUCGCCGCGCUCAGCUCAAUGGGCGACGGCUCUCGAUUCAUAAAAUGUCGGUCGUUCCAUUCACGCCGCGGCGCGAUGCUACGACGACCGUUCACUCGUGACCCUCGCGUCUUCGAAUAUUCAUGUCUCCCUCGAUAACAUCGUAACCUCUGACUUCUUUUUGUAUUAUCACGUUGUUUAGUGAACACCGCUAGUUGAGGCCGGACUUCGUGCGUUGUGUUGGAAACAAGUGUCCGUUCAAUCACUACACCGAAAUCAACUGUGAAAUUUAGUGCAUAGUGAAUUAAAUAGUGAUUUUCCGUCUGUAUCAAUGGAAUGUUACACCCAGUAGCGUGCGUGACCGUGUGGUGAACGUCAUGUCUGCAUCAAUAGUCUUCGCAAAGAGCAGAGAGCGACAGUGCGAGAUCCUCUCCUGAUUGGAACAGGCGACCCAACAAUACCAGAUGGAUGUCAAUUAGCGGAGGAAAGGAGCAUUGUAGUGUGGUGUGCGCCUGACUCAGCAUGAUGUCAUAGCAGGCGGUGAUGCGGCUAAUGGGAGCGUCCCGCCGACCACGUCACAUCCCAUUCCCGCCGCAUACUUCACCCAAUCGAGCGAUGACAAAUCCAUUCAUAUUCUUCCAUUGCCGUUAACUGUUGUGUUAAACAUUGAAUUCUUGCGAUUCCAAUGUAAUUAAAGUCUAUCAAAUGAAACGGCAAAUGAAUACGUUGCCAAGCGAGUGCGGUUUUCCUCUCCUGACCGAAUUCACGUGUUAGGUAAGUAACACUUAGUAACAACUAACAUUAUUCUGGCGUUUUCCUAUAGAUUAUGUUCCCGCAAACAGCCGCAGCGAGGACUGAACAUAGAGGCGUGAAGAGCACGAAGAAAGAAUAAAAGGAAUUACGAAACUGGUUUUCAUAAUGAUUUGACAGAUUGUUCUAAAUUCUGAGAUCAUUGUGAAAGCUGAUUUUGUUCCUAUUUCAUCGAGAUCGAGAGCCCGCGCAAGAAAGAAAGAAGAAAUACAACUGGGAGAAUAGUACUUAUAAUUAUGUCUCUUUAUACCCAUAUGUAGAAGUGUAACUGAUGUAACUUACUACUGAUAUCGGUCUACCUAUUGUCUGUCACAAACCUGUAACGCUAUUGUAAUGCUAUCUAAGCUAAUGUUUAGAAUAAUUGUAAAAAUUGUAUUAAAUAAAAAAAACACGCGCUGUCCUAAUCAUGGCAUGCGAUUAUAACUUACUUAGUAGAAUACAAAUAUUGUCAAAGAACCAAAAUAAUAGAAUCGAGUGAAGAAAUCAAGUGUUUGCCGUUUGUUUGUUCUCGAGCGUAGAUUUUGUCUGAGUAAGAAUUAAUAGUUUACGAUUACAAAUCUCUGCCUUACAUCACAUUGUUGAAAAAUGUAGGAAGAGAUAACUAGUAAUGGAUUAAUCAAGCGCGAGGCUCAUAGCAACUCCAACUAUGGGUGGGGGUAUUUGAUCUCGUACAGCUAGUCCAAAGCAUGCCGUAACCUUAAUGUUUGUGCGAUACGAUCCUUAGUUUGACAGCCUCUGAUUUUCACUAACCAGUUCUCAACUCCUUUUGCUCGGAUCCCGUAGCAGGAAAGGAUACAUAAAAUACCACAUAAAUACCCAGUUGUUUAACCGAAGAGUUAUAUCUAACAGUUAUUUUAGCUUUUAAAUAACAUCAUCACAUCUUUUUCCUCAUAGGCAAAGAUGUAAUAACAAAACUUUCCGCUACUUAUUUUAUUAAUCCUGUCAUCCCAUAAUACAAUAAAGGAUGAUAUAAACCAAACCUAUUGCCACACAUAUCACAUUAAUAAUGGCUCCUAAAUGUCCGCUUCUGGCAUGGGGCCCAAUUGGGCUGAUACCGACACGGAGCCGCCGAGAACGUAAAAGGUUACCGGGGCUCCGGCUCGAAGUGCAGGAGCAGGAACGGAGUGGUUUUUAGUCAGUAAGAGUCUGACACUCCCUCUCGCAUCACCCGGGCGUAAGAAGUCAUUCGAUGAUUUUCCCCCUUACAAAAAGACGUCCACGUUCUGGAGAAUGAGCCUCCUCUUCAUCGCACGGCAGGCAUCCUAUAAAGAUAGCAGUUAAACGUUCCGAUAUCGGUACUACUCAGUAUCUGUUAAAUGUAUAGUCCCUUGGUCGGCUCUUGCUUACCCACGAGAAGUUUAGGGAUUGUGAAAAAAUUACUCUGCCCAAAGAAAAUAAAUAAAAUAUUUACAUACACAAAAGCUUCGUUCUACACAAAUAAAUAUUGAAAGACAAAUCUGAUAUUGAUGUAGGAACACUUAUCUACCUCUAAUUUAAAUUAAGAAUGAAUAAUAUUCGUACGUACUCCAUAGUUGUUAUUUAGCUCACCUUGUAUGCUAUUUCUGUAUUUUAUCCUAAAAUAGUGACAUUUAUGUACCUAUAACUACAAAUAAAUAAACUUUAUUUAUCAAUUGUACCGUAAAAGUUUUGAAAUCAUUAUUAA